rnacentral:rRNA from 1 species
GCUUGCACCUUAUCUUAGCGGCGGACGGGUGAGUAAUGCUUAGGAAUCUGCCUAUUAGUGGGGGACAACAUUCCGAAAGGAAUGCUAAUACCGCAUACGUCCUACGGGAGAAAGCAGGGGAUCUUCGGACCUUGCGCUAAUAGAUGAGCCUAAGUCGGAUUAGCUAGUUGGUGGGGUAAAGGCCUACCAAGGCGACGAUCUGUAGCGGGUCUGAGAGGAUGAUCCGCCACACUGGGACUGAGACACGGCCCAGACUCCUACGGGAGGCAGCAGUGGGGAAUAUUGGACAAUGGGGGGAACCCUGAUCCAGCCAUGCCGCGUGUGUGAAGAAGGCCUUAUGGUUGUAAAGCACUUUAAGCGAGGAGGAGGUUACUGAGACUAAUACUCUUGGAUAGUGGACGUUACUCGCAGAAUAAGCACCGGCUAACUCUGUGCCAGCAGCCGCGGUAAUACAGAGGGUGCGAGCGUUAAUCGGAUUUACUGGGCGUAAAGCGUGCGUAGGCGGCUUUUUAAGUCGGAUGUGAAAUCCCCGAGCUUAACUUGGGAAUUGCAUUCGAUACUGGGAAGCUAGAGUAUGGGAGAGGAUGGUAGAAUUCCAGGUGUAGCGGUGAAAUGCGUAGAGAUCUGGAGGAAUACCGAUGGCGAAGGCAGCCAUCUGGCCUAAUACUGACGCUGAGGUACGAAAGCAUGGGGAGCAAACAGGAUUAGAUACCCUGGUAGUCCAUGCCGUAAACGAUGUCUACUAGCCGUUGGGGCCUUUGAGGCUUUAGUGGCGCAGCUAACGCGAUAAGUAGACCGCC